rnacentral:rRNA from 1 species
UACGAAGGGAGCUAGCGUUAUUCGAAAUUACUGGGCGUAAAGAGCAUGUAGGCGGUUUGACAAGUUGGAAGUGAAAGCCCAGGGCUUAACCCUGGAAUUGCUUUCAAAACUGUCAGACUAGAGAUCAAUAGGGGGAUAGCGGAAUUCCUAGUGUAGAGGUGAAAUUCUUAGAUAUUAGGAGGAACACCGGUGGCGAAGGCGGCUAUCUGGGUUGAUUCUGACGCUGAGAUGCGAAAGUGUGGGUAGCAAACAGGAUUAGAAACCCCUGUAGU